rnacentral:rRNA from 1 species
AGAGUUUGAUCCUGGCUCAGGACGAACGCUGGCGGCGCGCCUAACACAUGCAAGUCGAACGGAGCUUAGAGAGCUUGCUUUUUAAGCUUAGUGGCGAACGGGUGAGUAACGCGUGAGUAACCUGCCCUAGAGUGGGGGACAACAGUUGGAAACGACUGCUAAUACCGCAUAAGCCCACGGUGCCGCAUGACACUGAGGGAAAAGGAUUUAUUCGCUUUAGGAUGGACUCGCGUCCAAUUAGCUAGUUGGUGAGGUAACGGCCCACCAAGGCGACGAUUGGUAGCCGGACUGAGAGGUUGAACGGCCACAUUGGGACUGAGACACGGCCCAGACUCCUACGGGAGGCAGCAGUGGGGGAUAUUGCACAAUGGGGGAAACCCUGAUGCAGCGACGCCGCGUGGAGGAAGAAGGUUUUCGGAUUGUAAACUCCUGUCGUUAGGGACGAUAAUGACGGUACCUAACAAGAAAGCACCGGCUAACUACGUGCCAGCAGCCGCGGUAAAACGUAGGGUGCAAGCGUUGUCCGGAAUUACUGGGUGUAAAGGGAGCGCAGGCGGGAAGACAAGUUGGAAGUGAAAACCAUGGGCUCAACCCAUGAAUUGCUUUCAAAACUGUUUUUCUUGAGUAGUGCAGAGGUAGAUGGAAUUCCCGGUGUAGCGGUGGAAUGCGUAGAUAUCGGGAGGAACACCAGUGGCGAAGGCGGUCUACUGGGCACCAACUGACGCUGAGGCUCGAAAGCAUGGGUAGCAAACAGGAUUAGAUACCCUGGUAGUCCAUGCCGUAAACGAUGAUUACUAGGUGUUGGGGGAUUGACCCCCUCAGUGCCGCAGUUAACACAAUAAGUAAUCCACCUGGGGAGUACGACCGCAAGGUUGAAACUCAAAGGAAUUGACGGGGGCCCGCACAAGCAGUGGAGUAUGUGGUUUAAUUCGAAGCAACGCGAAGAACCUUACCAGGUCUUGACAUCCGAUGCAUAACACGGAGAUGUGUGAAAUCCUUCGGGACAUCGAGACAGGUGGUGCAUGGUUGUCGUCAGCUCGUGUCGUGAGAUGUUGGGUUAAGUCCCGCAACGAGCGCAACCCUUAUUGCCAGUUACUACGCAAGAGGACUCUGGCCAGACUGCCGUUGACAAAACGGAGGAAGGUGGGGAUGACGUCAAAUCAUCAUGCCCUUUAUGACUUGGGCUACACACGUACUACAAUGGCGUUAAACAAAGAGAAGCAAGACCGCGAGGUGGAGCAAAACUCAGAAACAACGUCCCAGUUCAGACUGCAGGCUGCAACUCGCCUGCACGAAGUCGGAAUUGCUAGUAAUCGUGGAUCAGCAUGCCACGGUGAAUACGUUCCCGGGCCUUGCACUCACCGCCCGUCA